AGGCCACCCUGGAGAACAACCCCCAGAGAGCCCAGAUGAGGCAGCAGCAGAAGAAGAAGGGUUCCAUCCCCUUCCUGGGCACGUUCCUCACUGACCUGGUGAUGCUGGACACGGCGAUGAAGGAUUACCUGGAUGGCAAUCUUGUCAACUUGGAGAAAAUACAGAAGGUAAGCAGCUGUGUCCUGCACUUCCAGGAGGGUGGGAAGGCAGAAUUCAGAAACCUCCUGGGCUGGACGCUCCUUGGCUUCACCCUCUGCAUUGUGCUUUAUUAGGAGGGUUUUGUACACACAGAAAGAUGAAAACCAUCCCGAUGGAGUGUGUGCACAGGAGACUGGACACGACACAUG
rnacentral:lncRNA from 1 species